UUUUCUAGAAUGACCAUCAAAGAAGUUGGUUUAUCUGAUGCUGCAUUGGACGCACUGGCAUAGUGUUUUUCCCAAAAAAAACCUUCUGAAAUCAAGAGAUAUGAAUCACCAUCAAACAUCUCAUACAGGAGAGAUAUAGGAAGUUCUUAGUAAGGGAGAGAAUUUUGUGGAGGGCCCUGGGAAUUCAUUUCUUGAUAAAGAUCUUGAAGCAGCUCUUGAUUCUUUUGACAACCUGUUUUGUUGUCAAUGUCUUCUCUUUGAUUAUAAGCUACAUGGAUGUUCCCAGGAUCUUGUCUUUCCAGCUGAGAAACAACUUCCAUGGAGCUUUCCAGAAGAGGAAAAUAUACCAUGUGGUCUGCAUUGCUAUAAACUAGGAAUGGUGACUAUUUAAAAUAACAUUCAGUAGCUUGAACUUCUCAUAUUUAUUUUUGUUAUCUAUUCAUUGCACAUCUUUUAUUGGCUUUGUUUAUAUUAUUAUUAUGUUUUACGAUUGGCAGAGACCAAGAGAAUUGAAGGCCAUGGGAAGCAGCAUGGAGAGUGAUUCAGAAUGACGGUGAAUGAUGGAUGGGGGUUGGGUGUUUUGGUUUACUUUCUUCUUAUUUUUAGUGUUAAAAUCCUUUGGAUUUUUAUUUCUCUUCUUUUUUUCUUUUUUUCCUCUGAUCUAACUGGGGGGUUGGGUGUUUUGGUUCACUUUCUUCUUAUUUUUUGUGUUAAAUGGGGGAGUGGUGAGAGAGAGAAGAGGGUAAUGUUAUUUUGUAGCUUUGUAUUCAAUUUUUGGAUAUGUUAUUUUGUGGGUAAUGUGUAUUAAAUUGAA